rfam:Candidatus Marispirochaeta sp. JC444 Contig2, whole genome shotgun sequence.
GGAGUAAAGCUCGCCAUGAGAAGUCAGCCGAGGCCAUAGUAGGGAUGAGGAAACAUCGUGAAGGGC